CCUACGGGAGGCAGCAGUGAGGAAUAUUGGUCAAUGGACGAGAGUCUGAACCAGCCAAGUAGCGUGAAGGAUGACUGCCCUAUGGGUUGUAAACUUCUUUUAUAUGGGAAUAAAACGUUCCACGUGUGGGAUUUUGUAUGUACCAUAUGAAUAAGGAUCGGCUAACUCCGUGCCAGCAGCCGCGGUAAUACGGAGGAUCCGAGCGUUAUCCGGAUUUAUUGGGUUUAAAGGGAGCGUAGGUGGAUUGUUAAGUCAGUUGUGAAAGUUUGCGGCUCAACCGUAAAAUUGCUGUUGAAACUGGCAGUCUUGAGUACAGUAGAGGUGGGCGGAAUUCGGGGUGUAGCGGUGAAAUGCUUAGAUAUCACGAAGAACUCCGAUUGCGAAGGCAGUUCACUGGACUGCAACUGACACUGAGGCUCGAAAGUGUGGGUAUCAAACAGGAUUAGAUACCCUUGUAGUC
rnacentral:rRNA from 1 species